UGCAAGUCGAACGAAGUCGCCCAAUUGAUUCUUAGUGCUUGCACUAAGAUGAUUUUGGAUCCGACUGAGUGGCGAACUGGUGAGUAACACGUGGGUAACCUGCCCAGAAGAAGGGGAUAACACCUGGAAACAGAUGCUAAUACCGUAUAACAACAAGAACCACAUGGUUCUUGUUUGAAAGCUGGCCUUUGUGCUAGUGCUUCUGGAUGGACCCGCGGCGUAUUAGCUAGUUGGUGAGAUAAUAGCUCACCAAGGCAAUGAUACGUAGCAGACCUGAGAGGGUAAUCUGCCACAAUGGGACUGAGACACGGCCCAUACUCCUACGGGAGGCAGCAGUAGGGAAUCUUCCACAAUGGACGAAAGUCUGAUGGAGCAACGCCGCGUGAGUGAAGAAGGGUUUCGGCUCGUAAAACUCUGUUGUUAGAGAAGAACAGCCGUGAGAGCAACUGCUCACGGUAUGACGGUAUCUAACCAGAAAGUCACGGCUAACUACGUGCCAGCAGCCGCGGUAAUACGUAGGUGGCAAACGUUGUCCGGAUUUAUUGGGCGUAAAGGGAGCGCAGGCGGUUUAUUAAGUCUGAUGUGAAAGCCUUCGGCUUAACCGGAGAAGUGCAUCGGAAACUGAUAAACUUGAGUGCAGAAAAGGAUAGUGGAACUUCAUGUGUAGCGGUGAAAUGCGUAGAUAUAUGAAGGAACACCAGUGGCGAAGGCGGCUAUCUGGUCUGUAACUGACGCUGAGGCUCGAAAGCAUGGGUAGCAAACAGGAUUAGAUACCCUGGUAGUCCAUGCCGUAAACGAUGAAUGCUAGGUGUUGGAAGGUUUCCGCCUUUCAGUGCCGCAGCUAACGCAUUAAGCAUUCCGCCUGGGGAGUACGACCGCAAGGUUGAAACUCAAAGGAAUUGACGGGGACCCGCACAAGCGGUGGAGCAUGUGGUUUAAUUCGAUGCUACGCGAAGAACCUUACCAGGACUUGACAUCUUCUGCCAAUCUAAGANAUUAGACGUUCCCUUCGGGGACAGAAUG
rnacentral:rRNA from 1 species